AGUUACAACCCAGUGGAGAAUCAGGGUCAGAAUAGGUCCCAAGAUGGGAUAGUUACAACCCAGUGGAGAAUCAGGGUCAGAAUAGGUCCCAAGAUGGGAUAGUUACAACCCAGUGGAGAAUCAGGGUCAGAAUAGGUCCCAAGAUGGGAUAGUUAACCCAUGGAGAAUCAGGGUCAGAAUAGGUCCCAAGAUGGGAUAGUUACAACCCAGUGGAGAAUCAGGGUCAGAAUAGGUCCCAAGAUGGGAUAGUUACAACCCAGUGGAGAAUCAGGGUCAGAAUAGGUCCUCAAGAUGGGAUAGUUACAACCCAGUGGAGAAUCAGGGUCAGAAUAGGUCCCAAGAUGGGAUAGUUACAACCCAGUGGAGAAUCAGGGUCAGAAUAGGUCCCAAGAUGGGAUAGUUACAACCCAUGGAGAAUCAGGGUCAGAAUAGGUCCCAAGAUGGGAUAGUUACCCCAUUGAGAAUCAAGGUCAGAAUGGUCCCCAUCAAGUUAUGCUUGUCCUAGAGUCCCUGAAUAUAUAUGACAUUGAUCAGUAACAAUAUAAACCCAUUUAAAG
rnacentral:lncRNA from 1 species